GGAAGAUGUUCUUGAUUGUAGAGGAGAGGGAUAGAUAGGUAGAUAGAUAGAUAGCAGGCAGGGGUCUGUGAAGAGAGGGGUCGUGAGGGAAGAAAGAGCCCUUUCAGGAGAAGGAGGCUGCCAUUGUGUGAAUUAGAUGAGGAAACUGUUAACUCAGGAGGGAGGGAUAGAGAGAAAAAAUAUGAAGGGAGGGGGAAGAAAGAGUGGGGAAGAGCGAGUGGAAGAGAGAGAAAGAGAGAAAAAGAAGGGAGGGGAAGAGAGACAGAAGGGCGAGGGACGGACCCAAGUCUGUCAGCAGCCUGAGGGUAAUGAGCGGCCAUGGUGGCACUGGCAGCAAGGAAGGGCCCAGUCAACCACUGCUGCUGUUUGGGGCUACCAAGGCAAUUGUCAGAGUGAAGGAGGCAAGCAAGAAAUGGGCCAGGGCCUGGGCCUGUCAGCGACCUGUGGGGAAUGAGUGGCCAUGGUGGUGGUGGCAGUGAGAAAGGGCCCAGUCAACCACUGCUGUUGCUCCUGUGGGGAGAAGCAAGAGUGAGGUUCGGGUGGGGAGGUCUCUGGUGAUAGGAGGCUGCAGCUUGGACAAUAGGUGCCAGCAACACUGUAGCUGCAACCAAGAGAGGUGAAGGGGAUGGAGUAAAGGGAUGGAAGAGUGACCAAGAGGGGUGAGGGGGAUGGAAGCAACAGAAUAGAGGAGGAGGAGCAGGAGUGCAGCUCAGAAGAAUCUUUUGCAGUACGUGCAUGCAGUAUCUACUAUUUAUCUGUGGAAUGCCAGGGAGCAACGGCUCAUCAGAAAUUUAAUGACAUUUUACGGAUGAUGUAAGAGAGCUGGAGUGGAACUAAAUAGAAAAUCAGAACUUCUGAAUCACAUUUGUUAGCAAUUUUUAAAGGACUCACAUUUACCUUGCCAUUCAGCAAAGAGCCUUCAGCACUUUUUUCAGAAAAGAUGAGAUCCCCAUUCACAACUCUUGUACCAUAGGUCUUAAUCCGGUGGGAUUUUCCUGGAGACAGGGCUUUGUAAAUCAGAGCUGUCCUAAGCAAAUGGGGAUGUGGAGAGUAAGAAACGUACCAUUAAAUAUCAGGAGGCACUUUCUUCACCACCAUGGCCUGGUAUGUAAUGGCCUUCUUAUCUUUAAUGCCUGUGUAGCUGAAGUCUGAAGGCAGCACGCCAAGUUUAGAAGACAAAUAGCCAAUUGCUUCAAGUGUUUCCAGGUUUUCCUUUCGGAGGGUAAAAGCUGCAAAAAGACUGCAAUGUUAUUACAAAUCCAGACAGAGACUCCUCUGUAAGCAAAUGAAGGGCUGAAAAUAGUGACAAAAGAGGGGACAAGAAUCAACUGAAGAUUAUUGGUCACACAGUGUCUCUUUGAUCCAAUAAAAAGGCUAGUUUAAAGUCCAAUCAUGAAGAGGGCUGAGAUGACCAAAGAUGUUGAUUGCAGGGUAGUCUGGCUAGAGAGGCAUAAAAGAGCCAGUUCUGCCUAGUGUUGGUGUCAGUCACCUGUUCCAGAGAAGCUGUCUGCAAGAAUACAGAAGAAAACCAAGCAGAAGCUGAAGCAAGGGCUUCAAAUCAGCAGCAGUCAACUGAGAUCACUUAGGAAAGCAGAAGGCAUUGAAGCCGAAAGUGGGAGGGACUGAAAUGGAGUUUCAGUGCCCAGUUCCCAGGAGUUGGUGCCAGAAUCUGCUCAAAGCAAGGAGUAGAUUGGGGGUACAUGGAGAAAAGAGCAUAUACCAUCUAGUACAACAUGCAUCUGCACACGAUUUCCAGUCCAGGAAUCUGCAUGCCCCCUUACUGGAUAUGAAUGACAAUGUUCAGCUUAUCAUAUGCACAACAAAAGUAUAUCUUUAUAUUAAAGUAUUUUGUUUCC